AUUGAACGCUGGCGGCAUGCCUUACACAUGCAAGUCGAACGGUAACAGGUUAAGCUGACGAGUGGCGAACGGGUGAGUAAUGUAUCGGAACGUGCCCAGUCGUGGGGGAUAACUGCUCGAAAGAGCAGCUAAUACCGCAUACGACCUGAGGGUGAAAGCGGGGAUCGCAAGACCUCGCGCGAUUGGAGCGGCCGAUAUCAGAUUAGGUAGUUGGUGAGGUAAAGGCUCACCAAGCCGACGAUCUGUAGCUGGUCUGAGAGGACGACCAGCCACACUGGGACUGAGACACGGCCCAGACUCCUACGGGAGGCAGCAGUGGGGAAUUUUGGACAAUGGGCGCAAGCCUGAUCCAGCCAUGCCGCGUGCGGGAAGAAGGCCUUCGGGUUGUAAACCGCUUUUGUCAGGGAAGAAAAGGUUCUGGCUAAUACCUGGGACUCAUGACGGUACCUGAAGAAUAAGCACAGGCUAACUACGU
rnacentral:rRNA from 1 species